rnacentral:rRNA from 1 species
UACGUAGGGGGCAAGCGUUGUCCGGAAUUAUUGGGCGUAAAGCGCGCGCAGGCGGUCAUGUAAGUCUGGUGUUUAAUCCCGGGGCUCAACCCCCGGAUCGCACUGGAAACUGCGUGACUUGAGUGCAGAAGAGGAGAGUGGAAUUCCACGUGUAGCGGUGAAAUGCGUAGAGAUGUGGAGGAACACCAGUGGCGAAGGCGACUCUCUGGGCUGUAACUGACGCUGAGGCGCGAAAGCGUGGGGGAGCAAACAGG